GAAAAAAGAAAAUAAUUUUAAAAAUAUUUUUCCUAAAUUUUAUUGAAAACAAAAGUAAACUGUUUCUGCUCAAAACACUGUCAACAAAAUAAAAGGAGUUUUUAACGGAAUUUAAACGCAAAGAACUGUUCGAACAAAGUGUUAAAGUUUAUAAAAAGAAAUUAAUUAAAAAAAAAGAAAGAUGUAAACAAAGUACCUUGAAAUGAGACAACACAAAGACAAAUAUUUGAAAUGUGAAUGAAAGAAUGUGUAAAAUUAUCAACAUUAGAAAAAUGCUAAUAAAGUCAAAACUUUGCAAAAGGUGCCAAACAAAAUUCUUGUAAUCUUAAAUACAUAACAACAAUUUAAAUGGGUGCGCUCAACUUCUAAGUCUAUUAAUAUUACAAUUCAACAAAGUUAGCUGAAAAAAGUAUAGACAAUAAAAAAAGGAAAACUCAACACCGCUACGACAAAUGCUGGUGAUUGUUAAAAAACAAAAUAUAAUGGAAUUAUUUGAAAAUUUUCCACAUUUAAUUUAAACGCAAUUCAAAACACGAGUGAGUCCUUCAAACAAUUCACACAGACUCACAAACACACUGUCGUUGGAAUUCAAAUACGAGCAAUGCAUAUAUCGUAUUGGGCAUUCAUAUCAUAUAUAUGUGCACAUGGAAGCAUACAUGUAUGGUCGUGCAAACACAACACAAAACCCACUCACACUCACAUAGAAGUCUUAUAUUAACUGGACAAUAAGGAUAAAAGCAACAACUGAAUCCGACGACGGCGACGACGACGACGACGACCACACCACCACCACUACGACAACAACUAAAAUGAUGAUGAUUAUGAGAAUGAAAGCAACAACAACAACAACAAUUCUACAAUAGUAUGCAUACGAUUGAAUACUGACAAAACUGAGUGUGAUACUGAAAGAGUUCCUUAUUUCAUACGGAGCAUUUCAUUAACAUUUUAAGCAAAUGCACAUUCGCUCAUAUAUUCAUGUUCGAAACCUUCAAUACCUGAAUGUCAAUGAUCAAACAGAAGUGAACAUUGAUGACAAAGCUGUCAAUGAUUUUGACAACAAUGUAGCUGAGGAUAAUGAUGAUGGUGCUGAUGAUGAUGUCGGUGUUGAUUUCGAUUUCAAUGUUCAGUGUCAAUCGACAUGGUUGAGUAAAUAUUAACAAUUUCGAUGAAACAAAAGACAAUUAUUGUGCUGUGUGAAGAUUUGAGUUCAAGUAACACAAAAACACGAAAAAAUUUAAAGAACAACAAUUGGCCACAAGCACCACCAAUGCAAAUAUUGAAAAAGUUUAAGGAAUUUAUUGCCAAGUAAGGAGGAAUUUGAUUGUUAGACUUUGUACGUCAUAACUACUUCAAUAUUUGGAGGAACUUGGGAUAUUUGCCAAAUUUCUACUUCUUUGGUUAACCCUCUAAUUUCAUAUCAACAAAUUCGUUAAAAAAAAGUUCUCAAAAUGGACCGAAAGGGAUCUUCUGGGUCGUCAAAAUCUAAAUCAAAGCAAAAGAAAUUGAAACCCAAUAAGGAGUCAAGCACGCAUUUGGAUGUCGAUCUAU
rnacentral:sRNA from 1 species